rnacentral:misc_RNA from 1 species
UCUACAGUAGCCUCAUAUCAUAUCAAUCACUUCCGACUUCGAUCACGCAAUUCGCCUUUUACUUUGAAUUUGCCUCUUUCUUCCUUUUCUAAGUUUUAACACGCCAACGCCUGGUUCGGUUCCUCUCUGGGUCACCUGGUCUACUCGCACAGAAACCUUACAGCCUUCUUUUAUUUUUGCGUCCAGUUCGAUCAUGGGAACUCCCAAGUUGGCUAGAAUCCCCAGCAUGAGGGAUCGCGUUGAAGAUACUCUCUCUGCUCACCGAAACGAGCUUGUUUCUCUCCUCUGCAGGUAUGUGGAUCAAGGAAAAGGAAUUUUGCAACCGCAUACUUUGAUCGAUGAACUUGAUAAUAUUGUCAGCGAAGACGAAGCAAGGCUGGGGCUAAGAGAUGGUCCUUUCGGCGAAAUCCUUAAAUCUGCUCAGGAAGCCAUAGUUCUGCCUCCAUUUGUGGCAAUAGCCAUUCGUCCAAGACCUGGUGUCUGGGAAUAUGUCCGUGUGAAUGUCUUUGAGCUCAGUGUGGAGCAAUUGAGUGUCUCUGAAUAUCUUCAGUUCAAAGAAGAACUUGUAGAUGGGCCGUCUCAUGAUCCCUAUGUACUUGAGCUUGACUUUGAGCCAUUUAAUGCUGAUGUUCCUCGUCCCAACCGGUCUUCAUCUAUUGGCAAUGGUGUUCAAUUCCUCAAUCGCCAUCUUUCUUCAAUUAUGUUUCGUAACAAGGACUGCUUGGAACCUUUAAAUGAUUUCCUUCGAGCACACAAAUAUAAAGGGCAUGCCUUGAUGUUGAAUGAUCGGAUACAGAGCAUAUCCGGACUUCAGUCUGCCCUUGCUAAGGCAGAAGAAUAUAUUUCUAAGCUUCCACCUGAUUCACCAUAUUCUGAAUUUGAAUAUAAAUUACAAGAACUGGGUUUUGAGAGAGGGUGGGGGGAUACUGCAGCACGGGUACUGGAGACAAUGCACCUUCUCUUGGACAUCCUGCAGGCUCCUGAUCCCUUAUCUUUAGAAACAUUCCUGGGGAGAAUACCCAUGGUGUUUAAUGUUGUGAUUUUGUCUCCACAUGGAUACUUUGGGCAAGCAAAUGUUUUAGGUUUGCCUGACACUGGUGGACAGGUGUUCUUUCCUUGCUUUUGUCAUCAACCAAAACAGCUAACAGCAUUGUGUACAAAUAGAUAGUAUUUUGUGAACAACCUCUUUGGUCUGGUGGAGGUCUUUGUUUUCUUGCCUCUGCAGACCAUAUGCUCAUUUUGUCACUUCUUACUAUCCUUAUGUUAAUUUAUCUCUGGCCCUUCCCUACCCUCCAUCCCAGCAAACAAUAAACAAAGAAAGGCUUGGGAAUAUCAGCUUCUUUGUACACUUUUUUUAUUUUCUUUUUUCCUUUUAAUUUCUAAUAUAAUUUUUUCUAAUUAACUUGCAGGUUGUUUAUAUACUGGAUCAAGUACGUGCCUUAGAGAAUGAAAUGCUCCUUAGAAUACAGAAGCAAGGCCUGGAUUUCAAGCCUAGGAUUCUAAUUGUGACCAGAUUAAUUCCUGAUGCAAAAGGGACUACAUGCAAUCAGAGGUUGGAAAGAGUCACCGGAGCAGAACACACACAUAUUCUGCGAGUUCCUUUUAGAUCAGAGAAAGGAAUUCUUAGAAAAUGGGUCUCAAGAUUUGAUGUAUGGCCAUAUCUGGAGACCUUUGCUGAGGAUGUGGCCAGUGAAAUUGUAGCCGAGUUACAGGGCUUUCCUGAUUUUAUCAUAGGCAACUAUAGUGAUGGGAACCUUGUUGCAUCUUUGUUGGCUUAUAAAAUGGGUGUUACACAGUGCACCAUUGCGCAUGCCUUGGAGAAGACCAAAUAUCCGGAUUCAGAUAUAUAUUGGAAAAAUUUUGAUGAUAAAUAUCAUUUCUCAUGUCAAUUCACUGCUGACUUAUUAGCCAUGAACAAUGCUGAUUUUAUCAUUACCAGUACUUACCAAGAGAUUGCAGGAACGUAAGUGUGCCUCCCUUCUUACUUUUGAUGUUUAUUUGUAAUGUUGUUCAGUAUUUAUAAGAUGAGACAUAGUGACCAUUAUUGAUCUGCUUUUGUUUUAAAAUCCUUGGAAUCUGAGUGUUAAAUAUCUUUCUCUGAAAACUAAAGGAAUCAAAAGUGCAGUUUGUGACCUAGUAAUUAUUUCAAUAAGAGUAGUAAAAGAAUGAAAGCAGAAGAAUAAGAAAAGUGGGACAUGUUGGUGUUCUGAUGAGUCAUGCUUAAUGGAUGAUAGCCGUGAGGUUCUACGUGCUGAUAUUGGUUCAGGUAGUAUUGGAGGUCUCCAAUCUUAACCUAAUCAAGUUAUAAUUGCAUUAAAAAUUUUACUGUUUCAGCUUUGGGUCAACCAACAUUUAUGACUGUAAACACAGUAUUUUUAGAUACAUUUGAAAAUUGCAAAAUGGCGUAAAUAGUAGCCUUCUAUUUUUCUACUUUUUGUUCAGCAAAUAUAUCAAUCAUUACCUUUAGCAGGAACUAAUGAUCGUUGUGCUGGCUUUUGCAACUUAAUGGUGGUAACUAAUUUGCAGCGGUAAUGCCAAUUAUGUUAGCCCACCUUUCCUGUUGUGUAAAUAUACCAAUGCAUUUGGAAAUUAGCCUUGAUGAAAUUGCUUGUGCAACUUUAUCAAUUUUUAGAUGCUAGAUUAAGUAAUGCAUGUUAUUUCAGGUGCUUAACUUGUAUGCUCUUUUGACAGGAAGAAUACUGUUGGUCAGUAUGAGAGCCACACUGCUUUCACUCUUCCAGGGUUAUAUCGAGUUGUUCACGGCAUUGAUGUUUUUGAUCCAAAGUUCAAUAUUGUCUCUCCUGGGGCAGAUAUGUCCAUCUACUUCCCUUACUCUGUAAAGGAAAAAAGACUUACAGCUUUACAUGCUUCAAUAGAAAAGAUGUUGUAUGAUCCUGAGCCAACAGCUGAGUGGAUAGGUACACUGAGCGACAAGUCAAAGCCCUUAAUUUUUUCCAUGGCAAGGCUGGACCAGGUAAAAAACAUUACUGGGCUGGUAGAGAUGUAUGGGAAGAAUACAAGACUGAGGGAGCUGGUGAACCUUGUCGUGGUUGCUGGAUACAUCGAUGUGAAGAAGUCCAAAGACAGGGAAGAAAUUGCUGAAAUUGAGAAGAUGCAUGACCUUAUGAAAAAAUACAAUUUAGAUGGGCAAUUUCGAUGGAUAACUGCCCAAACUAAUCGAGCACGUAAUGGUGAGCUCUAUCGCUACAUAGCUGAUACAAAAGGAGCUUUUGUGCAGCCUGCUUUUUACGAAGCUUUUGGGCUGACUGUUGUAGAGGCAAUGACUUGUGGCCUUCCAACAUUUGCUACUUGCCAUGGUGGUCCUGCGGAAAUUAUUGAGCAUGGUAUGUCAGGAUUCCACAUUGAUCCAUAUCACCCUGAUCAGGCGGCUCAAAUUAUGGUAGAUUUCUUUCAACAGUGCAAGGAGGAUCCAAGCCACUGGAAUAAGAUAUCCAAUGCAGGGCUUCAGAGGAUUUAUGAAAGGUACACAUGGAAGAUCUACUCCGAGAGACUAUUGACAUUGGCUGGGGUUUAUGGUUUCUGGAAGUAUGUUUCCAAACUUGAGAGGCUUGAGACUCGAAGAUAUCUUGAGAUGUUCUACAUACUCAAGUUCCGUGAUUUGGUGAAAACCGUUCCUUUGCCAGUUGAUGACCAACAUUAAGCUGCAAUAACAUAUGGAACGGUAUUGAUAUGAUCAAGAGGCAGCAACAAUGUCACACGGUAAUAAUAGAAAUGUAAAUAAAUUCUUGCUGCUGUGUCUGGCAUGUAUAAAGCUUUUUUACCUGAAAAUUAUGUAUGAAACUUUUCUUAUGCAAAGCCGUGUCUCAAGGGGCUGUUGCGAAUAACUUGAGCUUUCUUAUUCCAGUUCGAGAAUAAUUUGGGGAUAAUCCUGUAUUAUGCUGACAAGCUUCUCUUGCGCUUUUUUUGUUUUC